rnacentral:rRNA from 1 species
UACGAAGGGGGCGAGCGUUGUUCGGAUUUACUGGGCGUAAAGGGCGUGCAGGCGGCUCCAAAAGUCAGGCGUGAAAGCCCCGGGCUUAACCUGGGAGGUGCGUCUGGGACUGUGGGGCUAGAGUUCGGGAGAGGAGCGUGGAAUUCCCAGUGUAGAGGUGAAAUUCGUAGAUAUCGGGAGGAACACCGGUGGCGAAGGCGACCAUCUGGACGGAUACUGACGCUGAGACGCGAAAGCGUGGGUAGCAAACAGG